rnacentral:rRNA from 1 species
GAUGAACGCUAGCGAUAGGCUUAACACAUGCAAGUCGAGGGGCAGCAUGAACAAAGCUUGCUUUGUUUGAUGGCGACCGGCGCACGGGUGCGUAACACGUAUGCAACUUACCCAUAAAACAGGGAUAACCCGGAGAAAUUCGGACUAAUACUUGAUGGUAUUGAGAGAAGGCAUCUUCACUUAAUUAAAGAUUUAUCGAUUAUGGAUAGGCAUGCGCAUGAUUAGCUAGUUGGUGAGGUAACGGCUCACCAAGGCGACGAUCAUUAGGGGUUCUGAGAGGAAGGUCCCCCACACUGGUACUGAGGCACGGACCAG